rnacentral:rRNA from 1 species
UGUAGUCAUAUGCUUGUCUCAAAGAUUAAGCCAUGCAUGUCUAAGUAUAAGCAAUCUAUACUGUGAAACUGCGAAUGGCUCAUUAAAUCAGUUAUCGUUUAUUUGAUAGUACCUUACUACUUGGAUAACCGUGGUAAUUCUAGAGCUAAUACAUGCUAAAAACCCCGACUUUUGGAGGGGUGUAUUUAUUAGAUAAAAAACCAAUGCCCUUCGGGGCUCCUUGGUGAUUCAUAAUAACUUAACGAAUCGCAUAGCCUUGUGCUGGCGAUGGUUCAUUCAAAUUUCUGCCCUAUCAACUUUCGAUGGUUAGGUCUUGGCUAACCAUGGUUUCAACGGGUAACGGGGAAUUAGGGUUCUAUUCCGGAGAGUGAGCCUGAGAAACGGCUAACACAUCCAAGGAAGGCAGCAGGUGCGCAAAUUACCCAAUCCCGACACGGGGAGGUAGUGACAAUAAAUACUGAUCCAGGGCUCUUUUGGGUCUUGGAAUUGGAAUGAGUACAAUUUAAAUCCCUUAACGAGGAACAAUUGGAGGGCAAGUCUGGU